UACCAGCACCCCGAGUGGUCGGGACGAUUAUUGGGCCUAAAGCAUCCGUAGCCGGUCCUACAAGUCUUCCGUUAAAUCCACCUGCUUAACAGAUGGGCUGCGGAAGAUACUAUAGAGCUAGGAGGCGGGAGAGGCAAGCGGUACUCGAUGGGUAGGGGUAAAAUCCGUUGAUCCAUUGAAGACCACCAGUGGCGAAGGCGGCUUGCCAGAACGCGCUCGACGGUGAGGGAUGAAAGCUGGGGGAGCAAACCGGG
rnacentral:rRNA from 1 species